UGCAAGUCGAACGGCAGCGCGGGGCAACCUGGCGGCGAGUGGCGAACGGGUGAGUAAUAUAUCGGAACAUACCCUAGAGUGGGGGAUAACGUAGCGAAAGUUACGCUAAUACCGCAUACGCACUAAGGUGGAAAGUGGGGGAUCGCAAGACCUCAUGCUCAUGGAGUGGCCGAUAUCUGAUUAGCUAGUUGGUGAGGUAAAGGCUCACCAAGGCGACGAUCAGUAGCUGGUCUGAGAGGACGACCAGCCACACUGGAACUGAGACACGGUCCAGACUCCUACGGGAGGCAGCAGUGGGGAAUUUUGGACAAUGGGGGCAACCCUGAUCCAGCAAUGCCGCGUGAGUGAAGAAGGCCUUCGGGUUGUAAAGCUCUUUUGUCAGGGAAGAAACGGUGGUCUCUAAUAUAGACUGCUAAUGACGGUACCUGAAGAAUAAGCACCGGCUAACUACGUGCCAGCAGCCGCGGUAAUACGUAGGGUGCAAGCGUUAAUCGGAAUUACUGGGCGUAAAGCGUGCGCAGGCGGUUAUAUAAGCCAGAUGUGAAAUCCCCGGGCUCAACCUGGGAACUGCAUUUGAGACUGUAUGGCUAGAGUGUGUCAGAGGGGGGUAGAAUUCCACGUGUAGCAGUGAAAUGCGUAGAUAUGUGGAGGAAUACCGAUGGCGAAGGCAGCCCCCUGGGAUAACACUGACGCUCAUGCACGAAAGCGUGGGGAGCAAACAGGAUUAGAUACCCUGGUAGUCCACGCCCUAAACGAUGUCUACUAGUUGUCGGGUCUUAAUUGACUUGGUAACGCAGCUAACGCG
rnacentral:rRNA from 1 species